rnacentral:rRNA from 1 species
AGCGCAGACGGUUAUUUAAGCAAGAUGUGAAAGCCCCGGGCUCAACCUGGGAACUGCGUUUUGAACUGGGUAACUAGAGUGUGUCAGAGGGGGUAGAAUUCCACGUGUAGCAGUGAAAUGCGUAGAGAUGUGGAGGAAUACCGAUGGCGAAGGCAGCCCCCUGGGAUAACACUGACGUUCAUGCUCGAAAGCGUGGGUAGCAAACA